rnacentral:lncRNA from 1 species
UCCCCAUUGAAGGAAAUGUGCAAUAAAGCGUGAUAUCAACAACUUUCAUAUACUUUUAUUUGUCAGCGGUAUGCCAUAGUUCCGAUAAUACAAACAAAACGAAUAUUGAUGGGUUGCUGUUUCACUGACAUUAAUGACACAUACCUAAUUUCGAGAUUAGAAUUUUGAUCCAGAAGUGCGAGUCGUAUCAACAUGACUAACCGAAGCCUAAUUUGACUGUUUUAUAAAUACAAAUUUACAAAAUACGACUUCGAUCAGCAUUUUGAUACACAACU